rnacentral:tRNA from 1 species
CAGGGAGACAACAAAAUGUUUAAUAUUAUUAUUUUGUCACCUUAGGUCGAUCGGUAUCUCACGUUCUUAAUUUGUUAAGAAUUUCAUUUCCUAAGUUUUUCUAGGUCACACCCAUUAUUUUUCCUGGGCCAUUAGCUCAGGUGGUUAGAGCGCACCCCUGAUAAGGGUGAGGUCCCUGGUUCAAGUCCAGGAUGGCCCAUAUCUCUAUGUUGGGGGUAUAGCUCAGUUGGUAGAGCGCCUGCUUUGCAAGCAGGAUGUCAGCGGUUCGAGUCCGCUUACCUCCACUGAUUACCACCUCUUCCAUAACUGGUAGAAAGGAAAUGUUUUGAGUUGUGAUUAUUAUUCUGAACGAAUCUAGCUUCAUAAUGAAAUCAUUAAGAUGCUGGACUCAUUGAAUUAAUUUCAUUGUUUUCAGAGAACCUUGACAACUGCAUAGAUUUUUUUAAAGACAAUAAGCAUCUUUAAUGAUGCAGAUUUAUUAUUUGUGCGAAUGCAUUAAUAACAAUUCUAUUAAGCUGAUGCUUCAAUUUUUGAAGUUAUU